rnacentral:tRNA from 1 species
GCGCCUGUAGCUCAGCUGGAUAGAGUACUGCCCUCCGAAGGCAGGGGUCGGACGUUCGAAUCGUCUCGGGCGCGCCA